CCUACGGGAGGCAGCAGUGAGGAAUAUUGGUCAAUGGCCACAAGGCUGAACCAGCCAAGUCGCGUGAGGGAUGACGGUCCUAUGGAUUGUAAACCUCUUUUGUCAGGGAGCAAAGGGCGCCACGUGUGGCGCUUUGCGAGUACCUGAAGAAAAAGCAUCGGCUAACUCCGUGCCAGCAGCCGCGGUAAUACGGAGGAUGCGAGCGUUAUCCGGAUUUAUUGGGUUUAAAGGGUGCGCAGGCGGAAUGUCAAGUCAGCGGUAAAAUUUCGGGGCUCAACCCCGUCGUGCCGUUGAAACUGGCGUUCUUGAGUGAGCGAGAAGUAUGCGGAAUGCGUGGUGUAGCGGUGAAAUGCAUAGAUAUCACGCAGAACUCCGAUUGCGAAGGCAGCAUACCGGCGCUCAACUGACGCUCAUGCACGAAAGCGUGGGUAUCGAACAGGAUUAGAUACCCCAGUAGUC
rnacentral:rRNA from 1 species